AAGAGCUUUGCUAAUAUCUAUCUGUAGCAGAUAAGAACUUGAAAGUUAUAUUUACUUUGGUUUUAUUCUGAAGCUGCAUAGAAUUAAAAUUACAUCUAAAUGCUUAAGUGGAUCCCAACUAUGCCUUUAAUCUCACUCAUUUUCCUCUUGUGGAACAGAAUUUACAGGCUUUUAGUAUCCCACUACAGGCCUUAAGUUUGUUAUGGCAACAUGCACUGUCUAUUCUGGAACACACACAAUAAAGUGUUCUGUGAUGUACAUUGUGGUCACGGUACAGCAUGGCACGUGGCACACAGUGGAGCCUUUAGAAGAAGGGAUCUGCAAGACAGCUGUCUGCCAUUGCAGAAAACUAGAACCAGUUGAUAUGAGGAAUGAUAACAGACAUCAGCCCAGAUUCUGAACUUGAAGGGCAGAUGCUGCCAGGCCCUUCCAACUCUGACUACUUUCUGAAAAGCCAUUGCUGGACCAGGGGAACAUCCCAUCUUGCUACCCUAAACAAGAACUUCAGUCACGCUGUUAUGCAGGUCAAGAAGAGACAAGGCCAUGUAAACCUUCCUGGGCCUGGAAGAAACCACUGGGGCCUGACAAGCCUUAAAAACAGAGCUGCACUUACAUGUUUGGAUCAGGCACAUCGACCCUUAACAGCAUCAGCUGGUCCCCCCUGCACCACAAAAGGUGCAUAGCAAGUGCAUUGGGACCUAGAAAGGCAUUAUGACCAAAGACUAGUGUGACUACAGCAAUUACCAGUUCAGCAAAUAAGCUUCUCAUUGCAAGCAUCGCUGAGGCUAUACACGCGCCAAGAAGAACCCAGAAUCACUGUGUCAGCAGUUCUCAAAGACUAUUUUAAAUGCUAUCAAGUUUAAUAAAACUUUUACAGUGGAGUACA
ensembl:lncRNA